GCCCUCUUGGCGAAAUUGGUAGACGCAGCAGACUCAAAAUCUGCCGAGUAAUCGUGUCGGUUCGAGUCCGACAGAGGGUA
rnacentral:tRNA from 1 species